rnacentral:lncRNA from 1 species
CCCACUGUUGGUCAUGUGAGUUAUCACGUUGAACCAAGGUGUGAAAAAAAGGCACAAGUCUUUACCGUCACAGUGAGAUCUUGUCCUAACCCAUCAUGUGACCUGUCAAGGUCACCAAAAGCAAGGUGUGAGUGGGGGUUGAAGCGCUUGGGAAAGGACCUCAAGACUGUAUCAAGACUUCACUCUGUAUCAUAUUGUGCUCCUGAUCUUCUCAUUGAUGGAGGAGAUCGUCUGCAUGCGGGAAACAGGGAUCUCAGUGGACCAGAGCGAAGAGUGCACAUCAGACAAGAUCAGUGCAUCCAAGAUAGAACAAAGGCGAGGGAGCUGAGUGGCCUGUACGUGACAUGUAGUGAAGCUCUUCACAGAGAGCCUUGCUCGGUGCCUCUGAGAAACACCUGGCAUAUCAAAGCGCCAAAGGGAAACGAGUUUCAAAGGAGCAGGGCUGCCAGAGACUGUUUUGUGCCCAGGCCUCCACGGAGAUGUGUUUUCUGAGUUAUUAGAUGCCAUUAUACAGCAUGCAUGUGGAGAAUAACACCACUGAAUGAGUAAGUGUUGAAAUAACCCGCAACGUAAACGGCAACUGUUUUGUUUGCUGUGUUCCAAAGCUGCAGCGAAAUCAUAAUGAAGGAGCUACAUCUAAUAUUCAAUUAUAUAUGUGCCAAAGCCUUGUGUAUAAGUGUUAACAGUGUUCACACUUUUUAUGAGUCAAUUAUGAGACCACAGCGAAGAUGGAGUGACUUUGCUGGCAGCGACCGUAGCUGGACUGCAGAGAGAGGAAGAUAGAGUAGCUGGCUGCUGAAAGGUAAGUCAUAACGUUGGUGUCCUGCCAGGGUAGGAGUGGGCACUGGACAAAGAAAGAAUCUUUUCUUCUCUAAAAAUACAAAUACAUUUAAACACAGUUCACUUUUGCACAUUUAUAAUCACCGUCACCGAGACUGGAAUGGCUCUACCUCCAUAACCCUCCAUUCAGUCUGCUUUUGGGCUGAAGCUUUUAUCCACGACAGCUUCAUAAUUUAUUUCAGAUCAUUUGAAAAUCCUCCUCUUGCCAGAUUCAGAAGCAUCCACAGUCUUUUCCUUUAGGCCUGAGGAAGCUCUUUAGAUCAUGACGUGAUGAUGCCAAUCUCUUGCAAAAAAAAAAACAAAAACAGCAGACGUUACAUGUUAUAUCUGAGGUGUCAAACAUGUACAACCCACAGGCCAAAAGCAGCAAGCUCAAGACUCAAAUCCAGCCCACUGAAGUGGAAGGUGUAAAAACUGAAGAGAAGGACUGGCAAGUGAAUUGUGUCAAGAAACAUGGUUUUCCCACAUACUAAUUUAAUCCUAGCCUGAGGUCCAAAUCAUUGUGAGUUUUACGUCGCUCUGGCAACUAACCCAAACUCUCUGAUUCUAAUUUUAGGGAUGUAAAUCUGUGUGUGUACUUACAUUUCCACUGUGACUUUUCUGUUGCUUUUAAUAUAUUUAAAUUAUGAAAACAAAUGUCUUUUGUACUUGAAGUAUGUUCUUUAAGUAUGUUAUAUUAAAAAC